CGGCGGACGGGUGAGUAAUGUCUGGGAAACUGCCUGAUGAGGGGGAUAACUACUGGAAACGGUAGCUAAUACCGUAUAACGUCGCAAGACCAAAGAGGGGGACCUUAGGGCCUCUUGCCAUCGGAUGUGCCCAGAUGGGAUUAGCUAGUAGGUAAGGUAACGGCUUACCUAGGCGACGAUCCCUAGCUGGUCUGAGAGGAUGAUCAGCCACACUGGGACUGAGACACGGCCCAG
rnacentral:rRNA from 1 species